UUGAAAAUAAUCCAAUGCAUUACUAUGGUGGAUCAUCAUUAGAAUCACUAAUUACUUCACAAAUCACUCAUGAAACAAUAGAAUCAUCAUAAGGAUAAUCACAAAUGAACAAUUAAGUCAAGGACUCUAGCUAGAAUCUAGAUUUGAAUUUAGUUUUAUGCUUAGAGGCUAGAGUAUAACUCAUCAUUGCCAAUGGACAACUCAAAUAUGAGAUUAGAUCCAAAUAAGGAAUCUCAUGAAGAAAGACGGCUAAUCCAACAUGAUAACUGAUUUCUAAUCAUUAGAAAAAAAAAUCCAAUAAAAAAUAAUCAUUUAAAUCAAAUUAAACAUGAAUCCACUAUAGAUAGAGUGUUGGAUUAGGUGUCUAAGCCCAUAACUAUAAUUGGUAUGUACUUGAAUUGAUAGCAGCACAGUCCUUUUGGGUUGCCCUCAAACCUAGCAACCGGACAAGGAAAUUAUGAAAGGAGAGAUAUUAAUUUAUUAUAAGAUUAAUAAAUUAAUAUAAAUGAUUUUAUUAAUAUGUUAAAAGAUUAAUAUAUUAAUAAGAAAUCAUUUGGUUUAAUUAGUUGUUAACCAGAAAUUAAUUAGAAUUAAUUUUGGGGUUAAAAGAAUUAAUUAUAAGGUGCAGGGACUAGUUUGCAAUUAUCUAAUAGUUGAGUGGAAGGCUCUAGAACCCCCUUGGAUAAGGGUGGACGAAAUCUUUAGGGGAAACCCUAAUAAUUUCGUCCAUAGGGGCUUGGAUAAGGCCCUUGGGUUUGCUUAGGCCCUAAGCAAAGGAUAACUAGGGUUUCCCCUAAACCCUAGAUCCCUCAGCUAUAUAAGGAGCCUCCUGGUUCAUGUUUUGGUCACUCUUUUCUUUUGAAGAAACCCUAAGGGCCGAAAUUUUGCAUACUCCCUCUCCCCUCUCUCCUCUACUUUCCUUCUUGCUAGUUUGGGUGUGAUUCCAUUAGAGGCAUUACACUUGUGGUGCUAAGCUUCCAAGAAGAUCAAGAUCAAGAUCAAGGGAAUUAUCAAUUGUUUACUAUAACAAUUGAAAGGUAUGUAAUUACUAAACCCUAGUUUGUAAAUUUCGAUAAUAGCCUCUCUCCUCUAGGGUUCUUGUUUUGCAAUUCAAAGUUGUAUGUUCAAUAGAUAAAACAUAGAUCCAAAGUAGGUUGCAUGUGAACUUAGGAAUUGUUUUCUAGUUUAUUUGUUUUACCUAAAACCCAUCAGUGGUAUCAGAGCCUUUGUUUGUUUUAAAUUGAAUUGUUAUAAUUGUUGAAUUGCAAAUUAGGGUUUAUAGCUAUUAAACCCUAAAGGCCAUUUUUUCGAUUUUUAGGGUUGUGGAUCAAAGGGUUUUUGAAAACCCUAGCCUCCAAAGAACCCUAAUCGAAAUUAGGGUUAGGGUUUUGAAAACCCUAGCCUCCUCCCUUGAAAAUUUCGAAAUAUGCUAUAAAGAUUAGGGUUUCUUUGUUUUGGAUAAUAGUUGCCUUAUUGGAUAAUUGAGAAAAAUAAGGAAAUUAUCCUAUCCCCAUAUUUUCGAAAUCUAGAAGGGAUAUGGAUUAGGAUUAAAUUAAUUGUUUAAUUUAAUUAGAUAAUCCUUACAAGAUUUAAUAAAUUAAUUAAAAGUUAAUUAAUAGAUAAAUAUUAAAUCUAAUUAAUUGGUUUAUUUAAAUUUAAAAUUUAAUAGUUUAAAUUUCAAAAAUUUAUAUAAACCCUUGGAGUUUUAAAAUGUUUUAAAACACACCUUAUAUAUAUUAUAAUUAAAAGUUAAAUAUUAUAUAUGUAUAAGAAUAUGGUCAGUCAAAUCGCUAGUAUGCCUCAUUCACGAAGCUAGUCUAUAAGGGGGGUAUAAGGAAACUGCCUAUAAAAUGGUAGUUGAAUGGGUGUCCACUCUCACCCACCGCUUCCUUGAUUAGUGGAGGGUCGUUAGCAGAACGGAUUUGAUAGGACAACUACUUCCCAUUAAAAGUAUAAUGCUAUUAAAGAAAGUACUAGAACACUAUUUUUCAAAAUCCCAACUCUAGUUACUUUAGGAAAAAUGUGAAAAGUAUGCUAAUCCAUGAAAUUGCACAUUAUGCUUUAUUGGUCGUUAGUGGAGCGUGUGUGGUUAACCGGCACACUAAAAGGCACUAAUAAAGAGUAGUAAUGGGUAUCUUAUAAUUAUCAUUUUGAUGGAGCGUGUGUGGUUUACCGGCACAUCAAUAGUUAAUGAUAAAGACAAUAAGGUUACCAAGCACAUUUGCAUGGUUAUUCACAUCUAGUUUGUGAUCCUCGGUAUCCCAGUCACAAAUAGUAGAGCAUAAUCCGAGAUUAAAACAUGCCAUUAAAUAGUUUUAAUGUAUCUCAAAAGAAUUAGGAAUUUCACUUCGUUUAUUUUGUCUAAUGGUGGAAUUGGUGAAUCGUCAUUCACCUACCUUUAUGAGAUUUGAACUUGGAUCUCGGCAUCCCAUUUCUAAGUUGUAAAUCGUCAUAGUUGGGUCCUAACCUUGAUAUGAUAUCUUUGGGUUAUUAUAUUGAGGUGUCUUGGAAUCUAACUAAAACUAUCUUUCUUUUCAGAUGUCUACUCCUGGAAACACUUCUGCUUCAUCAUCCUCCAGCCACAACUUCUCUCUACUAAACAUCUGCUCCAAAGUCGUUAUGGAUGGCUCCAACUAUAACGAUUGGAUGCGUAACAUCAAGAUGGCGCUUAGAUUCGAGGACAAAGAGUAUGUCCUUGAAAAGGAGCUCAAAGAACUUGAUGAGUCAAAAGCCACUCCCGAAGAGUAUGCUGCCUACAAGAAACACUAUGAUGAUGCUACCAAAGUGGCAUGCAUCAUGGUUGCAACCAUGUCCCCAGAAUUGCAGAGGUACUAUGAGGACUACUGGCCUUUUGAGAUGAACAAGGACCUUAUGGAAAAGUACCAUAAGCGAGCUCGUCAAGAAAAGUUUGAGGUAGUCAAGUCACUCAUGGCUUGCAAGAUGAAAGAGGGGGAAUCGGUUGUAUCUCAUGUGCAAAGAAUGCAACGCUACAUAGAGCGUUUGGUCAAGCUCAACAUUCACUUCGAUGAGGAAUUGGCCAUUGACAUGGUCUUGAACUCGUUGCCUGAUUGUUAUGGUCAGUUUAUCUUAACUUACCAUUUGAACAACACUGAGCAGACUUUGGCCCAAUUGCACAACUUGUUGCAGACAGCUGAGGCAGGGAUGAAGGGUAAAAGUAUACCCUCCACACCUGCAAGUGCCCCUGUCUUGGCCAUUGGACAGGGAAAGGGGAAGAAGAGGAAAGGUCCUCCCAAGCAAAACUGGAAGAGCAAGGCUCAAGCUGUGUCAUCUAGUAAUGGCCCGAAGGCUAAGCCCAAUGGUUCCACUCCCCAUGUUUCUGAUCCAAAAGAGGCCAUUUGCUUUUACUGCAAUCAAAAGGGGCAUUGGAAGAGAUCUUGCCCACAAUAUCUGCAAGAUAUCAAGGAUGGCAAAGUGAAGCCAUCCUCGGCAGGUAUUUACACUAUUUCUGCUAAUAACUCAUUAUCUUCUCGUUCAUGGGUCCUUGAUACAGGAUGUGGUUUUCAUAUCUGUUCUGAUUUGCAGGGGCUAAAGGAAAGUGAGGAGAUAGAGCAUGGGAGGAUAAACUUGAUCAUGGGGAACAGAAAGUCUUCACCAGUGACCAAGAUCGGAGUUUAUCAACUAUUGCUUAGUAAUGAUGUUAGAUUAGAUUUAAUAAAUUGUUGCUAUUCGUCUGAGAUGACGAGAAACAUUAUUUCAUUUCAUGCAUUGUUCAGACAAGGUUUUAAAUAUUCUUUUAAUGAUUUGAAUGGUUCAAUUUCUGUUUAUAAGAAUGGUGUUUUUGUGUUUGAAGCUUUACCUUGUGAUGGUGUGUAUGAAACAGUGACUUGUGUUGAUAGCUUAGGAAAUAGUGUACUUAAUAUUGACUUGUCUAAUAGUGUAGACAAGGCAUGCUUGUGGCAUUGUCGUCUUGGACACAUUAACAAGAAACGCAUAGCCCAACUCCAAAAGGAUGGAGUGUUGGAAUCAUUUGACCUAAAAUCAGAUGAUAUGUGUGAAUCUUGUCUUUUGGGAAAGAUGACAAAAUCACCAUUCACAGGGUCUUGUGAAAGAGGUGAAGGUCUGUUGGAUCUCAUACACACAGAUGUGUGUGGGCCCUUCAGAUCAACCACAAGGGAUGCUAAUCGAUUCUAUGUGACUUUCACUGACGAUUAUAGCAGAUAUGGUUACAUCUACUUGAUCAAACAUAAGUCAGAAACCUUUGAAAAGUUCAAAGAGUUUAAGCAUGAAGUCGAAAAUCAAUUGGGCAGAAAGAUCAAGAUACUUAGAUCCGAUAGAGGCGGGGAGUAUCUUAGUACCGAGUUCAACGACUAUCUGAAAGAAUGUGGGAUAGUCUCACAAUUGACUCCUCCUAGGACACCACAGUUAAAUGGUGUAGCUGAGAGGCGUAAUCGAACCUUGUUAGACAUGGUUCGUUCUAUGAUGAGUCGUGCCUCGCUUCCUAUUCACUUCUGGGGGUAUGCCUUAGAGACAGCCGCCCACAUCCUCAAUCUUGUCCCUACAAAGAAGGUUGCCAAAACACCUCACGAAAUGUGGACAGGGAAAGUUCCCUCGUUAGCACAUAUUAAAGUCUGGGGUUGUGAAGCUUUCGUAAGACGAGAGACUCACGACAAGCUAGCAGCUAGAAGUGAGAAAUGUGUUUUCAUUGGUUACCCAAAGCAGUCUUUUGGAUAUUUGUUCUACAGACCUAGUGAAAACGUGGUGUUUGUAGCUCGAAGAGGAGUCUUUCUGGAAAGAGAGCUCAUAUUCAAAGAGGACAGUGGGAGUACCAUUGACCUUGAAGAGAUUCAAGAGUCAACCAAUGAAGGAACCUUAUAUGACACUAGCACUCAACCAGAGGAAACAGUUCCUGUUGAACCGGUUGAUAAAUCAUUACCUCUUCGAAGAUCCACUAGGGUGAGUGUGCCACCUGAGUUGUAUGGUUUUCAUAUUACUUCAGAUGGUGACACAUUCAUAAGUGACAGAACACUGGUAAACUUAGAUGAACCAGUCACUUAUAAGGAAGCAAUGGCAGGCCCAGAGGCUUCCAAGUGGAAAGAGGCAAUGGACAGCGAGAUUAAGUCCAUGUAUGACAACCAAGUUUGGAAUUUGGUUGAUAGUGCACCAGGUCGGAAGACAGUUGGGUGCAAAUGGAUCUUCAAGAAGAAGACAGACAUGGAUGGGAAUGUGCAUACGUUCAAGGCUCGACUGGUUGCAAAAGGUUUCACUCAAACCCCAGGGGUUGACUAUGAUGAGACUUUUUCGCCGGUGGCUAAGAUUAAAUCUAUUAGGAUAUUGCUCGCCAUAGCUGCCUUUCAUGACUAUGAAAUCUGGCAGAUGGAUGUCAAGACUGCCUUCCUUAACGGGAAGUUGGCUGAGGAUGUUUACAUGAGUCAGCCAGAGGGUUUUGUUGAUGCAAAGUUUCCCAAUAGAGUAUGCAAGCUUGAGAAAUCCAUUUAUGGAUUGAAACAAGCAUCUCGCAGCUGGAAUCUUUGCUUCCAUGAGAAAGUCAAAGAGUUUGGUUUCUCUAGAAGUGAAGAUGAGUUUUGUGUGUAUAUCAAGGCUAGUGGGAGUAUAGUAACUUUUCUGGUGUUAUAUGUCGAUGACAUAUUACUCAUUGGUAACGACGUUCCAACCUUGAAUGAAGUUAAGUCUUGGCUUGGAAAGUGUUUUGCCAUGAAAGACCUAGGAGAAGCCGCCUAUAUUCUUGGGAUUAGAAUAUUGAGAGAUAGAAAGAAGAGACUAAUUGGACUUAGUCAGAGCACAUACUUGGAUAAGGUACUAAAGAGGUUUAGUAUGGAAAAUUCCAAGAAGGGAGAGCUACCUAUCCAGAGCAAUACCAAAUUGAGUAAGACUCAAUGCCCGAGUACAGAUGAGGAAAUAGAUGACAUGAGUCGUGUACCUUAUGCUUCCGCUGUCGGAUCGAUCAUGUACGCUAUGACAUGUACUCGCCCUGAUGUGGCAUUUGCUUUGAGCAUGGUCAGUCGCUAUCAGGGAAACCCAGGUAGAGCUCAUUGGAUAGCCGUGAAGAAUAUACUCAAGUAUUUGCGAAGAACGAAGGACUGGGUCCUUGUACUUGGUGGCAAUGAUACUUUGAGAGUAGAUGGUUACAGUGAUGCCAGCUUUCAGACGGAUAGAGAUAACUUCCGUUCUCAAUCAGGCUGGGUAUUCUUAUUAAAUGGAGGAGCAGUUACUUGGAAGAGUUCCAAGCAAGAUACGGUGGCUGAUUCUACUUGUGAAUCAGAGUACAUAGCAGCAAGUGAAGCGUCAAAAGAAGCAGCUUGGUUGAGGAACUUCAUCGGGGAUCUCGGAGUUGUUCCAACCAUCCAGGAGCCUAUGGAACUGUUCUGCGAUAAUGAAGGAGCGGUAGCCUUGACAAAGGAACCGAGAGAUCAUGGUAAAACCAGACAUAUCGACAGAAAGUACCAUUUCAUCAGACAUAGAGUAGAAGAAGGCCAUCUUAUAGUGAAGAGGGUGUCAUCUGAAGAUAACCCAGCAGAUCCCCUCACAAAGGGUCUGAGUAGGGCUAAGCAUAUUCAGCAUGCUCGGAGCAUAGGACUGAAAGAUGAUAUUAGUUUUAGUAGUUAGAUUGGUUUUGUUCUGAAACUUGUAACAAAGUAAAUGUAAUUGACUUUUGGUGAUUAAAUAAUAAAGUAUUAUUUAUAAGUUUGGGUUCUACCUUUUGUCAAUUGUUUAUUAUUGUGUUUAAAUUUUGCAUGUUUUACUUCCCGAAUAAUAAGAUUAUUCAAACUCCACAGUCGCUCGUACUUUUGGAAGUAAGUAGUGAAUCAAGACUGUCAUGAACUGGAUUGUAGAUUGUCUAAGGAUAGACAUGGCAAUAGAUUUUGCUGCAACGUUCAUGAGUACUCAGAAAUUGAGAUUUGAGUAUUGGAUAAACCCUUGCUCAGAGUAUUACUUCAUGGAAUCCAUCACGAGUAAUACUGAGACGAUAAUAUCUUAUAAUCUUGAAACAGAGAUAUAUGAGUUGUAAUUUGCAAGUCGGUUAUGCAUUGGUAAUACGAAAACGCAUCAGUAACUAGGUGUUAUAAAACGUAUUAUCAUGUAUGAUUUGAUGAGCAAAAGAUACAAGUAUAUGAGUCAAUGUUUAUUCGUUCCUUUUCCUUAAUGGGAAAAGCGAUAUCUGUGGGCCCCUCGAUGAUUUGGUGUUGACUUAUGUGCUGGGCCCAGCCAGGACUAAAUUGAUGUGUUCAAUUAGAAGUCCUACAUCAUCACUAAUCAGGAAUCGGGAAACAUAGAUUCUGGACAAAGAGGUUGAUUGCAUUCCAUGUCUUUUGUCUAGGGAUAUCUAGCAGAACGAAGGAUUAUAUGAUCACUUAUCUUAGGACACGUAACUGACUGGGUCAGAGUUCGGCAACAGCUUUUUGGAAGCUACAAUUUGCUGGUCAAAUUUAGAAGGCAUACUAGCAAUUAUAGUUACAGACUUAUCCAAGUGGGAGACUGUUGGAUUAGGUGUCUAAGCCCAUAACUAUAAUUGGUAUGUACUUGAAUUGAUAGCAGCACAGUCCUUUUGGGUUGCCCUCAAACCUAGCAACCGGACAAGGAAAUUAUGAAAGGAGAGAUAUUAAUUUAUUAUAAGAUUAAUAAAUUAAUAUAAAUGAUUUUAUUAAUAUGUUAUAAGAUUAAUAAAUUAAUAAGAAAUCAUUUGGUUUAAUUAGUUGUUAACCAGAAAUUAAUUAGAAUUAAUUUUGGGGUUAAAAGAAUUAAUUAUAAGGUGCAGGGACUAGUUUGCAAUUAUCUAAUAGUUGAGUGGAAGGCUCUAGAACCCCCUUGGAUAAGGGUGGACGAAAUCUUUAGGGGAAACCCUAAUAAUUUCGUCCAUGGGGGCUUGGAUAAGGCCCUUGGGUUUGCUUAGGCCCUAAGCAAAGGAUAACUAGGGUUUUCCUAAACCCUAGAUCCCUCAGCUAUAUAAGGAGCCUCCUGGUUCAUGUUUUGGUCACUCUUUUCUUUGGAAGAAACCCUAAGGGCCGAAAUUUUGCAUACUCCCUCUUCCCUCUCUCCUCUAAUUUCCUUCUUGCUAGUUUGGGUGUGAUUCCAUUAGAGGCAUUACACUUGUGGUGCUAAGCUUCCAAGAAGAUCAAGAUCAAGAUCAAGGGAAUCAUCAAUUGUUUACUAUAACAAUUGAAAGGUAUGUAAUUACUAAACCCUAGUUUGUAGAUUUCGAUUAUAGCCUCUCUCCUCUAGGGUUCUUGUUUUGUAAUUCAAAGUUAUAUGUUCAAUAGAUAAAACAUAGAUCCAAAGUAGGUUGCAUGUGAACUUAGGAAUUGUUUUUCUAGGUUAUUUGUUUUACCUAAAACCCAUCAUAGAGUUUCUACUUCCUCAAAUCCUCAUCAAACUCCACAACAACCAAUUAAUGAUUUAUUCCAUAGAGUUUAGGAGUUCAUAUGCUAGA
rnacentral:lncRNA from 1 species